CAAGACUUCCCAAAUGCUGUAACAACAAGAAACAUGAUUCUAAAGAAGCCAUUUGGCACCGUGACUGAGACAUUGACAGGUCACUGAAGAGUAUCCUUCAUUUUUUUUUGUUUGUUUUUAGUGCUACCAGGUAACUGCUCAUUGGGAAUCUUAAGUCUAAAACUUGAAGUGUAUAUCUAGCAACAUACAGAGAUCACUGUUAUGUCUAGAAUUCAUUGAUUUCAGAGCCUGUGUCAAUUUGGGAAGCAAAGUUAUCUGGGAUACAUUGUUCUACUGUUAAAAUACAAUGCAUUGAGAUAAUCUCUUACGCAGCUAGUAACAUAUAUUUACAUGUCACAGUCUAAUUGUGCUUGCAAACAUCUAAGAAUUACUUUAAAACACACCAAUGAUUUUGUAGGUUUUUAAUGUUUGCCACCUUCUUUCCUUCUUUCUGAUACAUGUCACAGCAUGAUUCUUAUGAAUUAGUGUGUCCACUGGUAAUAUGUAGUAACAUGCCAUUCAGAACAGAAAAAGAAGUUUCAUCUUGGUAAAACUCCAUAUUUCAUUUGUUUGGCUUAGUGAACCUUUAGCUAUGUAUUCAUGAGACUGUGCCUAUGGAUGAAUGUGGAGGUGGAAUUACCAACAAAUCCAGUGCAACAUAUUAAACAUGAUCUGUAAAAGAUUUUUGUUUGUUUUUUUGGUUGUUUUUUUUUUUUUUGUUUUUUCUGUGAAAGGAAUUAGAACUAAAACAGAAAAGACUGUAACUGUAACAAAAAAUGGCACCAAGUAAAUUAAUUGUAAUGAAACUGACCGUAGCAAUGGAGAAGAAAGGUAAAAAUUUUGGUAUUUAGAACUUCAAGGUCAUUGUAUUUUGGUUGCUUUCAGAUUUUACAGCACGGAGAAUGAAAUGAUUAUUCCAAAACUGAAUAUACAUUAGUUAAUUGUAUAUGAUUUUUCCAUUAAGGCUGCAAUUCUGAUUUAGAAUUUCCCUUUUUAAAAUAAUUUUUCUAUUAAUUUCCUGCCCAAGACUGUCAUGCAAAUAGUUUACAUUGAACAAUAAGAAUUGAUUUUCAUUCUUUCUUGCUCUGUAUUCAUUUGAAUGGCAAAAAUCAUAACCAAAGUAAAACAACAGUGCAGAUGUAAUACAUUCUUAUGUCACAAAUCAUAAAAAGUAUAAAAUAAGGCAACAAUUUGUUUUUGACAUGCCUAAAUUACUCAUAAGAGUCACUACUUUUUUUUUUCCUGUCAAAAUCUUGUUUGAAUCUCACAGUGGUUUAAAAGUAGUUCAUGUGCAAAACCAUUAUAGCAGGCAUUCAAAAUGCUAUCUAAUUAUUCCAUUCAGAGAAAUUUUAAAGCUACAAAUUUUAGGAUUUCAAAGAUGCAACAUGUCCUGGUCUGGCUGCAGGGUAUUUGUAAGUACAUUGAAAAUUCUGAAGAGUACUAAUUUUACAAGUCAAAGUUUUCUGAUACAAAAAUGUUGCAGGAUACUUGGAGUAAAAUCCUGUUAAAUAUAUACAGCUUAACACACAGAGGUGCAACAGCUGUAGGAACUAUUUUGCUCUGUGCUGAUUAGAAAUAGGAAAUUUCUCAAACCACUAUUGUAGCUUGAGUUAAGGUACUACAGAAUACAUGUAUAUUUAAAACAAUUUUCAUUAAAAUAUUUAUAUUCUUCACCUCAACCUACAAAAAGCAUCUAUUAAACUUAUCUGGAACUAGCUCAUUGGAGUUAUGCAGUUAAUUCAUAUUGCUCAUUUUUACAUGUUUUAAACCCUAGCUGCAUGCCUCACCUAAUUAUUACAGCACUGCAAUGGAAUUUACAUUAGGAAAUGUUCCCUGAGGGGUGUCCUUGUAGAAGAAAAAAAUGUAAUUGCAAUACUAUCUGGCAAAACUCUGUGAGCUUAUCAGAGAUGAGAGUUAAGCCAAUAGCAGUGAAGAUGAUUUCUCUACUACUUAAUGCAAGAUGAGUUAAAGAGAUGUGUUGUUGUGAUGCUGGAUUAACUGACCCAGCCAAACAAACAAACAAACAGACAAAAAAGAAACAAUAGAUGUGAGUACAUCCCAUCCUGACAUGCUAAGAACAAUAGCAGAAAUCCUGCAGGGCCCUGGGAACUCCUGCAUAUCCCAGCUGGAUCCUGCUGCUGUGAACACACCUGCACACCACAGUACGUUUACUUUUUACUGUAUGUGUACCUAAGUCAAAAAAGAGUCCGCAUUUCCAAUACUUUGUCAUGAGUCAAGCAGUAGUCCAAGCUGCCAGCUGCAGCUAGUACCAGGCAUGGUCCCUAACCUCUCCAAACAGCAUCAGCCAGCGUGGAAAGAGGAAGGCUCUUAUUAGGCUUCUGCUACUGUCAAAAUGGAGAAGAUAGAGUAAAACGUGUAUGCAUUGUUCAAUAAAAGAACCUAGUUGCUUCUCAUACAGUCUGAUAUUUUCUCAUUUACUGACAUGGAAAACUCUGACUGCUAGAGCUAUUAUAAUUUAUUUUUCUUUUAUUUAUUUAAGUGUUGUAGAGCAAGAUGUUACCUAGCUUUUACUUCCUCCUUAAAUGAUCCUCCAUUUUUACUGUGCAAGUAGGGCUUCUUUUGCUGGCCACUUUUGUUCAACAGAUGAUUCUCAUGAAAACUGGAUUGCUUCAUGUGUACUGUACAUAAAAAUAAUCAUCAACGUGCCUUUUCUUAAUGUGUAUAUUAGUUUCCUAACAGUUAAUGUUGUUGCAGAUUAUUUAACAUGUAAUAGAUAACAUUUGAUGUUAAAGUUUUCUGAGUUCUUCAGCUUGUCAUCAACCUGAAAAUGGCAAAUUUUCUUCCAGGUUGAAAAUAUUUCCUUAAUUUGUUGCAUAAAUCCAGUGCAAUGCAAUAUUAACAAACUAACACACCUAAGAGAAAAUAAUAAAUAAUUAAGUGCUGUUAUAUCAGCUCUUCAGACAGGAAAAAAUUAAGAUAAUAUUUAAAGUCCAGUAUUUAAAGUGCUAGCGGUUCUAGCUGUAACAUGUGAAGGAAACAGGGUUCCGCACCAUCAACCAACUAUGAGAUUGCUGCAGCAGUAUUAAAAGAAAAAAGAAAAAAAAAUAAAGAAGAAAAAAAAAAAGAAAAUGCUAUCAGAUUUAACUGAGAUAUGAAAUAGGCUGUGAUAGUUAAUGUCAGAAAACACUAUCAGUAAUCCAAUGGUGGAGAACAUUUACUAAAAUAAGUAGAAGAUGAGAAGGGGCUAUGUGACCAGAGAGAGUAGUCUUAAUUCUGGAAUUGCUUGUUACUUUUCACACAGAAUCUCACACUGUGAUUCUGCCCUUAUGGACUAUGUGCUUGCAUGUAUAUUGCCGAUAAUGGCCUUGUAUUAAAGAUGUGCGAUCAUCAGAAACAGAAGAAAGGAGAAGAUGAGACAUUACCAAAUCUUUGGAAGUUUUCCCUGUAGUCUGGAAGCCAAAGCUAUGCGUUUUCUGGUUUAUCAGUCAUGAAGAAGUUGCAAUGAGAAUUCAGUUUAUCCCAGUGCUGAAAAGCCUACCUUCAGCCACUGGAUAUGUGAGGUUAGCAUCUGUGAAGAGAUCCCAAUUUCCACAAGCAUGUUUUUUUUGUUUUUUUUUGUUUACACUAUAAAUAGCCAUCUUCUCUCCCCCUAUUUCCCAGUCUUAAAGAUGAGUCAAAGAAGGGUCAGUUCAUACAGUUCUGUUAAUCUACUGAAAGAACAAAAAGAAACUAUGAAGAAAUUUAAACUUUUUAUUCACACUUUUAUUUGCAAUAUAAAGUUCUUGCUGUAAUAAGAAAUUAAAUAUUAUGGUGCUACUUUGUAAUUCAAAGUAGUCAGAUAAGUUAUUGUAAGGAAUGUUCCAGCAAUUCGUGUCAGUAGAGGUAAAACUUGAGUUUCUGAUAUCUGGGGAUAAGAGAACAAAGGGGUUUCAGAAUAACUGCUAACUAUUGUGGCUAUUACAUGGGACGCUAUGCAAGUCUCUCAUAUCUGGCCAAGAGAUUAAGGAGAAAGGAGAAGCAGAAGGACGACUAAAAGACAAAUCUUGCAUGGGACACUGCACAAGUCUCUGAUAUCCGGCCAAGAUGGACAAAGGAGAAGGACAAGGACAAAACCUGGGAAGAAGACUACAAGCCUUCAGCACAAGAGACCCCCAGAGGGACCACCUGAGACUGAUACGCAUGCGCCAGUGGGAGGGUUCGGAUUCUGGGAACUAAUUAUAAUAACCCUGCCUUUUCUAGAAGUAGCAAUGAAUAUGUAUUAGCCUAGGAGCAUAAAAACCAGCUGCCUGAUGUAACGUGUGUCUGUUGGAGGAGCCCAGACUCCCCGUGCACCCAGUGCUGUUUACUUGCCUUCUAUUAACCCCAUAAAUAAAUCUUAUAAAGCUGAA